AUGAACGCUAGCUACAGGCUUAACACAUGCAAGUCGAGGGGCAGCAUGGUCUUAGCUUGCUAAGGCCGAUGGCGACCGGCGCACGGGUGAGUAACGCGUAUCCAACCUGCCUUACACUCUUGGACAGCCUUCUGAAAGGGAGAUUAAUACAAGAUGUUAUCAUGAGUAAGCAUUUUCGCAUGAUUAAAGGUUUACCGGUGUAAGAUGGGGAUGCGUUCCAUUAGAUAGUAGGCGGGGUAACGGCCCACCUAGUCUUCGAUGGAUAGGGGUUCUGAGAGGAAGGUCCCCCACAUUGGAACUGAGACACGGUCCAAACUCCUACGGGAGGCAGCAGUGAGGAAUAUUGGUCAAUGGACGAGAGUCUGAACCAGCCAAGUAGCGUGAAGGAUGAAGGUUCUAUGGAUUGUAAACUUCUUUUAUACGGGAAUAAACGAAUCCACGCGUGGAUUUUUGCAUGUACCGUAUGAAUAAGGAUCGGCUAACUCCGUGCCAGCAGCCGCGGUAAUACGGAGGAUCCGAGCGUUAUCCGGAUUUAUUGGGUUUAAAGGGAGCGUAGAUGGGUUGUUAAGUCAGUUGUGAAAGUUUGCGGCGCAACCGUAAAAUUGCAAUUGAUACUGGCAGUCUUGAGUACAGUUGAGGUAGGCGGAAUUCGUGGUGUAGCGGUGAAAUGCUUAGAUAUCACGAAGAACUCCGAUUGCGAAGGCAGCUUACUAACCUGUAACUGACAUUGAUGCUCGAAAGUGUGGGUAUCAAACAGGAUUAGAUACCCUGGUAGUCCACACGGUAAACGAUGAAUACUCGCUGUAGGCGAUAUACAGUCUGCGGCCAAGCGAAAGCAUUAAGUAUUCCACCUGGGGAGUACGCCGGCAACGGUGAAACUCAAAGGAAUUGACGGGGGCCCGCACAAGCGGAGGAACAUGUGGUUUAAUUCGAUGAUACGCGAGGAACCUUACCCGGGCUUAAAUUGCAACCGAAUAUGGCGGAAACGCUAUAGCUAGCAAUAGCGGUUGUGAAGGUGCUGCAUGGUUGUCGUCAGCUCGUGCCGUGAGGUGUCGGCUUAAGUGCCAUAACGAGCGCAACCCUUGCCGAUAGUUACUAACAGGUCAUGCUGAGGACUCUGUCGGGACUGCCAUCGUAAGAUGUGAGGAAGGUGGGGAUGACGUCAAAUCAGCACGGCCCUUACGUCCGGGGCUACACACGUGUUACAAUGGGGGGUACAGAGGGCUGCUACCACGCAAGUGGAUGCCAAUCCCAAAAACCUCUCUCAGUUCGGAUUGAAGUCUGCAACCCGACUUCAUGAAGCUGGAUUCGCUAGUAAUCGCGCAUCAGCCACGGCGCGGUGAAUACGUUCCCGGGCCUUGUACACACCGCCCGUCAAGCCAUGGGAGCCGGGGGUACCUGAAGUGCGUAACCGCAAGGAGCGCCCUAGGGUAAAACUGGUGACUGGGGCU
rnacentral:rRNA from 1 species